GGGGUUGUAGCUCAGUGGUAGAGUGCUUGCCUAGCAUGCAUGAGGCACUGGGUUCAAUCCUCAGCACCACA
rnacentral:tRNA from 1 species